rnacentral:rRNA from 1 species
GACGAACGCUGGCGGCGUGCUUAACACAUGCAAGUCGAACGGUAAGGCCCUUCGGGGUACACGAGUGGCGAACGGGUGAGUAACACGUGGGUGAUCUGCCCUGCACUUCGGGAUAAGCCUGGGAAACUGGGUCUAAUACCGGAUAGGACCACUGCCUGCAUGGGUGGUGGUGGAAAGCUUUUGCGGUGUGGGAUGGGCCCGCGGCCUAUCAGCUUGUUGGUGGGGUGAUGGCCUACCAAGGCGACGACGGGUAGCCGGCCUGAGAGGGUGACCGGCCACACUGGGACUGAGAUACGGCCCAGACUCCUACGGGAGGCAGCAGUGGGGAAUGUUGCACAAUGGGCGCAAGCCUGAUGCAGCGACGCCGCGUGAGGGAUGACGGCCUUCGGGUUGUAAACCUCUUUCAGCUAUGACGAAGCGCAAGUGACGGUAGUAGCAGAAGAAGGACCGGCCAACUACGUGCCAGCCGCCGCGGUAA